rnacentral:sRNA from 1 species
GCGGAGGAAAAGAAACCAACAGGGAUUGCCCCAGUAACGGCGAGUGAAGCGGCAACAGCUCAAAUUUGAAAUCUGGCCCCCUCGGGGCCCGAGUUGUAAUUUGCAGAGGGAGCUUUUGGCGUCGGUCGUGGUCUAAGUUCCUUGGAACAGGACGUCACAGAGGGUGAGAAUCCCGUACGUGGCCGCCGGCCUUCGCCUUGUAAAGCCCCUUCGACGAGUCGAGUUGUUUGGGAAUGCAGCUCUAAAUGGGAGGUAAAUUCCUUCUAAAGCUAAAUACCCGCCAGAGACCGAUAGCGCACAAGUAGAGUGAUCGAAAGAUGAAAAGCACUUUGGAAAGAGAGUGAAAAAGCACGUGAAAUUGUUGAAAGGGAAGCGCUUGCGGCUAGACGUGCCCGCGGUUGAUCAUCCAGGCUCCGGCCUGGUGCACUCCUCCGCGGGCAGGCCAGCAUCAGUUCGGGCGGUCGGAUAAAGGCCUCUGUCACGUACCACCCCUCGGGGUGGCCUUAUAGGGGAGGCGCAACACGGCCAGCCCGGACUGAGGUUCCGCGCAUCUGCUAGGAUGCUGGCGUAAUAGCAGCAAGCGGCCCGUCUUGAAACACGGACCAAGGAGUCUAACAUCUAUGCGAGUGUUUGGGUGUCAAGCCCGAGCGCGCAAUGAAAGUGAACGGAGGUGGGAACCCUCACGGGUGCACCAUCGACCGAUCCUGAUGUCUUCGGAUGGAUUUGAGUAAGAGCAUAGCUGUUGGGACCCGAAAGAUGGUGAACUAUGCCUGAAUAGGGUGAAGCCAGAGGAAACUCUGGUGGAGGCUCGCAGCGGUUCUGACGUGCAAAUCGAUCGUCAAAUUUGGGCAUA